UUUGUUGACCUAGUCCGUGUAUCUAGUAGAGAAGACUGAAGAGAGACGAUUUGGAGAGCACUAGUUCAUGUUUGUUGCUCUGGGUUUGGGUUUGGACUAGUUUGAUCUAAAUUGCUUUGUGACCAUACAUUUGUAACAAUUUCACAUGCAUUUGUUGAAUGACUGAAAAGGACUUGGAGCGGAUCAAAUUUGGCAAAAAGGAAACUGGGCGUAGUAGAGCCACCAAUUUGAUAUGCAUAGGGUCCCAAACAACGCACCACACAAACACCAAACACAAUUUAGCUGCUGCUAUUCACAUCUUUUCACUGUCACUUGCAAAGUUUUCGUACUAGAAUUCUGGAAUUGCGAUUUGUAUGGGUUUGAUCGUGGAUCCAGAGAUAAAUAGAUAGAUAGGUAUGAACGUGAACGCGUCGUCGUCGUCGUCAUCCGCAGCAGCCAACCAGAAUCCUUCUCAAUCGACGGGCUCUGAUGCGUCGGGGAAGAAGGUCCGGAAACCCUACACAAUAACUAAAUCACGCGAGAGCUGGACCGAGGAGGAGCACGACAAGUUCCUUGAAGCUCUUCAACUAUUUGAUCGUGACUGGAAAAAAAUUGAAGAUUUUGUGGGUUCAAAGACAGUAAUCCAGAUUCGGAGUCAUGCACAGAAGUACUUCCUGAAGGUCCAAAAGAAUGGGACACUUGCACAUGUUCCUCCUCCUCGCCCUAAACGGAAAGCUGCUCAUCCAUACCCACAGAAGGCAUCUAAAAAUGUUCUAAUGCCAUUGCAAUCAUCUAUGGCUUAUCCUUCUUCAAUGAAUACGCUUGUACCCGGGUACAGAACAUGGGAUGAUGCCUCUUUGCUGAUAAACUCUCCAAGUAGCAAAGCCAUGACAUCCCAAGACGAAUUUGCCAACCUUAAUGGUGCAGAAGGCUUGCCUGAUGUUGGAUCAAUGGGGGUUGCAAGGAUUAAUAAUGGUAAUGUUGGUGGCAUUGCAACCUCAGCCAGAACAUUUCCUGGUUCUAAGAUACCUAAGCAAGGGAAACAAGCUCCAAUGCUUCAUGGUAUACCGGACUUUGCUGAAGUGUAUAGCUUCAUUGGAAGUGUAUUUGAUCCAGACACGGAAGGCCAUGUGCAAAAGCUCAAGGAAAUGGAUCCCAUAAAUUUUGAAACUGUUUUGUUAUUGAUGAGGAACCUCACUGUUAACUUGUGUAGUCCUGAUCUUGAGCCGACUUUGGUCUCCUUGGUUGGCUCAGAGGAAGGUCCUGUCUUCGUAUGAUGUCAAUACCAAAACCGUGGGAGCUGGUGUAGAUACUGUUGCAAAGAACCAAUCCAAUGAUUUACCAUGUUGAACUUUUGCUACUCACAGUCUGUCGACCAGAUGCUUAGAUGUAUGUUGGGGGCGGAUUAUGGAGCCAAAACCAUGGGAGAGUGUCAAUGAUGUUGAAUGGGAGCAAAUUGUCCGGUGAUUCUGGGGAGGUCUGGAGCUUGAUUACCAGAGAAGACAGUAGGAAUUCCAUUAUACUGAUUUUGCUUUCACCCUACAGUGUGUAUAUGAUAUGUAGUAAGGUAUUCUGGAUGGCUGUCCGCUGUUGUUGUGAAGAUAAUGCCAUCUUAAGUUUUGGGGUGUGUGUUACUGUUACCUGAAUCAAUGUAACUAGAAUAAUCUCAAAUGAUGAAAUAACAAAUGCUUUUCACAUCCUGGAAAGUACAUGCUCCUUGGACA